GAAGCCUAGGUGACUGGUCUGCUCAACAGGGAGAAGACAAGCGUUCAUUCACUUGUGCUAAUGUGAAGGAAAGUGGGCCCGAAACUACAGGGAAGUCGACUACGACAAGGACUGAGAUUUGGUAUGAAGCCCAGUGCCAAAGGAGGGGGCUGCUGAAGAGAGAAGAGGCUGAGCAGGAUGGUUCUGAAUCCAGACAGCAAGCCCAGGCCAGGUCCAAGUGGCUUUGCUAUGUCAGGCCUGCCAUAGCCCAUCCUGGACCCGUUCACUACAGACUGAUUUCUUCUCUCUCUGUCCAUCUCAAGAUGCUAUUCGGAUGGAUCGCUUGCUGAAAAUGGUCAGUAAUAUGUUGGGUAGGUAAGUGAUGGGGGGAUGUCUUGUGAGCAGAAUCUAGGGGGAGGAAGACAGGUAUAUGGGCAGUCUCCCUGAGGAACUGGAUUCUGUUCUGUUCACGAAGACGAUGUCUAAAGAACCCUCUCUCCCUAACUUUCCUAAUCAGUUAAAUGACUCAGUCUUACAAUUUAGGGAGAGGUGAGAUGGGGAUGGGGCCAAAACUGCGCUAUCCUAAGAGGUAUCUGUGGCCUGAAGUGUUGUCCACAGUCAGCACUCAUCUGACAACACACGCACUAUAGUGUCACAGAGAGGCCGUAGCCAGCAGAAUGAGGAAGACCACAUUACUUUCUUGUUCACUGGGUUAACCUGCAUUGAAAUAAGUGGGAAAAGAUGCCUGCCUGCUCUAUGGGGGAACACUGUCCCUGCCUGCUUUGGCCAGAGAUACACAGGGUUAUCGUGGGGCUUAGAGUGAGCUUGUCUGAGGUCAAAAGAGGGUCAGAGAAGCUUGUCUGAGGUUCACUCAGCUCUCACAGCAAACGAGGAAGUGCAGGGUUAUGAAAUUACACAGACCAGGGUAAGUAGGAUUUCCCAGGGGCCACUAACAUAAAGGAACCCAAGAGGCUCGUGGGAAAACGAAGAAGUGGGCAGCCUGGUGUGGUCAUAACCUUUGUCUGGUCAAUAAACCUCGGAAGGAGAAAGAGCAUGGCACAGCCCAGAUCUGGGACCAGAGAGCUGGUCUAACCCUUCUCAGAGUGGAAGAAACCCUAUCAUGGCUUUUCUGCUCAGCCCCUCUCUCCGGGUCUUACCAGCCUGGCUGGGUUUGGUACUGCAGACACCCCUGGUGAGAGGACGCUCUCUCAUGGCAAGCCCAGAGUCAGCCUUGCUCACUUUGCGCUGCCUGCCUCAGCCUUAAAGUGUGGCCCAGGUUUCAUCUGGAGAGCCUGGAAUCAUGGACUCAGCCUUCUCCCUGGAACCACCUCUGUUCUGGAAGCUGAGCCCUGUGUCAUCAGGGGUGGGGUGGGGCUCUCCAGCUAUUCUAAUGAAGCCAGUCCAAGACUCUGCUGCUCUGAAGACUCUGAUCCAAAGGUGGCCACUCUAUCACUGCUUCAGAUCACAAACGACAGCUUCCAGCUGACAUCUGGCUUCCUUGGCCUGUUGCUGAUUUCAUCCCCACACCCCGCCCUGCUCCACUGGGCGCUUGAGACUGCUGCGGGCCAAAUGACUGCACUGGCCUAUGGGUGACCUGGCCUCUGGCUAGAACUGCUUCCGUCCCUUCCCUCAGUCCCAUGUUCCUUCCCACUAAGUCCCCUGUCUUUAACAUUGGGGGGUUAAAAAGAAGUAAAGAGUCAACCUUC